UACGUAGGGUGCAAGCGUUGUCCGGAAUUAUUGGGCGUAAAGAGCUCGUAGGCGGUUUGUCGCGUCGAAUGUGAAAACCCGGGGCUCAACCCCGGGCCUGCAUUCGAUACGGGCAGACUAGAGUUCGGUAGGGGAGUCUGGAAUUCCUGGUGUAGCGGUGAAAUGCGCAGAUAUCAGGAGGAACACCGGUGGCGAAGGCGGGACUCUGGGCCGAUACUGACGCUGAGGCGCGAGAGCGUGGGGAGCAAACAGG
rnacentral:rRNA from 1 species